GAAACUAAAAACUAAAUUUUGAGGAAAACAAAACAUGUUCUCUCUGUAGUGGCCCAAAUUCGUUCGGUCCAGACAAAACAAAAACCAAAAAAUAAUAUUAAUACCAAAGUCCAUUUACCAAAAAAAUAGAUUAGCCCAAAUUACAAGCCCAAACCUAAACUACCCUAACCCAAACCUACUAAACCCAAUAACCCAGCAGCCCAAAACCUAAAAAAUUUUCAGAAAUCCCAACUCUCUCUUGUGCCGCAGCCUCACCAUGUCGGCAGACUUGCCGUCUGACACCUCUUCUGCCGCCACCACCUGCAAAACAACAAAGAAACAUAAGCAAAAAGCA
rnacentral:lncRNA from 1 species